CAAACAUACUUACUCUUGUCACUUUUACUUCUAGUGAAAAAAAAAAUUACUUUGUUUCUAAAUUAAUAUUUUUUCAAGACACAUUACUUCUUUGAACACUUGGAUGAAAAUCAAAUAGGGUUUGUAAUAUGUACGGAUUUUCGGGUCAAUGCUUAGAGCGGGACAAUUAUUUUUAUCACACAAAUUUAUUCUUGUUUUUUGUCAGCCUGAGUAGUGUAAAACUUCACUCAGCAUAUGUCUUGUAGUCGGUCAUGUAACAACCGAAUGCAUUUUUAAUUCGUCUUUGUAUAGUUUCCUUUAAACUAAACAAACACGCACUCUGACAUAACCGGUCUUCCAAAAUGUUUGUGUUCUAUAAAAAUUCAAUUCAUCGUGUAUUUUAUAACAAAAUGUCUUUUCAAGAAUUUCGCCAUCAUCGUAUAACCCAUAGGAAUGUAUGCUUGUAGAAAACUAGAGUGUCUUCUAGUGUAUGUUUCAAAUGAACUGGAACUCUGCAUAGUGCAGGUUUCAAUAUUGUAAUACUUACUCAAGAAUCGUUACAUUUCUCAGUAUUAUAAAAGUUUCUCUUUUGAAAAUUUACCAUUCCAGUGUUUAUGUAGAAUAACCAACUUGCAUUUUUUUGAAAGAGUUACGUCGAACACUGACGAAAUUUUAGUAUGUUUUUCCUAUUGUAAAAUGCGUCUUGUUUGUCUUUCUAUAUUACUGCAAUCAAAAAAAACAUGAUUUUCUAUAGAAAACCUUGAUGUUUUAUUGCAUGAUCCUUUUACCAUACUUUAAAUGGGGUAAAUAAAAAACGUAACUUUAAAAAAAUUUCGGCGUUGCUGAUGGAAUAGAGAUAGUUGAAUAAAAGUUAUCCUAUUGAAUAUUUGUAGAUACACUGAGCCACUCAUAAUUUUAUCGAAAUUGGAAUGGAUAUCUACUCACAUUCAAGCAUGCGAAAAUUUUCUUGCGCUUUCCGAACCAGGUAUAUUAAUUUUAAAAAUCGAUGAAUCCAAUACAGUACGACAAAGUUAUUUACUACAUAAUAAUUUCCAUACAACUUUAUUGUUUUUUAAUGGACAAAAGAAGCAGUUCGCAAAUUUUGAUAGGAAUGUUUUCUUGGUUUUCGGUGUUUUCCCUAAUGCGGAGCGAUUAUAGCUUUCUACGUAAAGGAUGCUAAUUUUAAAAACUUGUUAAAAAGCUUCGCAACACAUCCAAUCAGUUUAAUUACCCUUCAUUGAUAAGGAUUAUUAUAUUCUUUGUGUUUCUAGAUGUCCUCGGGCGUUUCUAGAGAAAAAGCUUGUAUAUAUGAUGGAUUCCAGGUUUUGAUUUUUACGUUAAACGUUUUCGUUACAAACGGAAUCUCCAUGGUAAAAGGUUAUCCUGACGAAUUGUUGGUGGUUCACUUAUCAUGUAUACUCUUGAUUUUAAUUUGACUCACAUUCUUUUUUAUUAAAGUCAACGUAAUUUACAAAGAAAAAUUCACAAGCAUAUUGAAUUUGCUCAACCUGACUACUAACAAAAAAAAUAGAAAAUAAAAAAAAAUUCAAAAGCUUUAUUACGUUUAUUUUCCAUAAUUCAAACGUGAUGUUUUAUUUUAGUUUAUGAAAAAAUUUUUGAAAUUGUCUUCACAAGUAUGGCAUACCAGGUUACUUUUGAUUUUUAGUAUUAGCCGAUCGUUUCAUUAUCCUACCGUAAACAGAAAAUACGAUGUGGUGCUAUGAGAAAAAAUAUAGCUACAACGCUCAUAUGAUUUACUGCAACUGUAUGUAACGCUAACUGAUUAAAUGCGUCACUAAAUAUCUUGAAUUUUUUUUUUGUUCUUUGGAACUUUAUUAUGUUAAUUUAGUUUGCUAGUUACUAUUUAAAAAAUAAAAGAUUAAAUAUUUAAGGUACACUUCACUAGCAUUACAUUGACUUAUUG